CGAACGCUGGCGGCAUGCCUAACACAUGCAAGUCGAACGAAGUCUUCGGACUUAGUGGCGCACGGGUGCGUAACGCGUGGGAAUCUGCCCUUAGGUACGGAAUAACUCAGGGAAACUUGUGCUAAUACCGUAUGAUGUCUUCGGACCAAAGAUUUAUCGCCUAGGGAUGAGCCCGCGUUGGAUUAGCUAGUUGGUGGGGUAAAGGCCUACCAAGGCGACGAUCCAUAGCUGGUCUGAGAGGAUGAUCAGCCACACUGGGACUGAGACACGGCCCAGACUCCUACGGGAGGCAGCAGUGGGGAAUAUUGGACAAUGGGCGAUAGCCUGAUCCAGCCAUGCCGCGUGAGUGAUGAAGGCCUUAGGGUUGUAAAGCUCUUUCGACGGGGACGAUGAUGACGGUACCCGUAGAAGAAGCCCCGGCUAACUUCGU
rnacentral:rRNA from 1 species